GGGGAUUUAGCUCAGCGGCAUAAGCGCCUGCCUUGCAAGCAGGCAGUCUUGAGUUCGAUCCCCG
rfam:Cavia porcellus supercont2_17 genomic scaffold, whole genome shotgun sequence.